GCGUGCAGUACUUUACAGGAUCAUUUCUAAAGUACAUUCUCUCGUUUUGAUGAACCAAUCAAGACGACUCUCACACCUCAGAAGACGAAUUGCGCGGGUUCCUCCUGAGCGGGAUGCAGGAGACUCGAGUGUUCGCACUCGACCUUCAUAGAUGAACGUUCCUACAUUUGCCAACGUGCAUUUGCAGGAGGGAGGCUACCCGGUUCUGAUGAGGU
rnacentral:snoRNA from 1 species